rnacentral:lncRNA from 1 species
AUCAAAUAUAAGGUCAGCUUUGGUUACAUCGAACGAGAACGUUCUAGCCUUUAUGUUUCCAUCUUUUAUGGGCUCAUCUUUGCCUGAUGGUCUAGGCUUGGCCAUUAUGGGACAAGUAUACGUAUCUCCUUUGACCAAUUCGGCCAAACACAUUUCGACCUGGUUGUAUGACUCGUUACUGAUGGUAUGAACAUCAAAAUUUGGGUCUUUGUAAUAAGUCCCUUUACUAGAAUUUUUCAUCUGUUCUUCCUCUCUUAUCAGUCGUUCAUAUCUAAUCACAUUCGCACUCAACUGGAAAAAGUCAGGAAAUUUCUUGUCUUGGAAUUUCUUCUUUAAAUCAAAGCUCAAGCAGCCCUGAGUGAUUUUGACAAAUUCUUUUUUGGGCAGAGCUACAAAACACUUGCUUCUUGCUGUCUUGAACCUUUGGAGAAAACUUUCUGCCCAUUCGUUUGGCAUUUGACGUAGAUUCGUCAAAUCAGCCAAAGUGACUUCAGACUCAGUUUUAUAAAACUGAGCGUGAAAUAACUGUUCCAAUUGUUGCUAUGUGAACAGAGUUCGCUGGCAAGUUGAUGAAACAGGAGAAAGCUACUCCUGUUAACGAACUAGGGAAAAGCCUCAUUUUAUGGUAAUCGGUUACAUCACCACUUUGCAAUGUGAAUCGCCCUAUGUGUUCUAGAGUAGACACCUUUCCUAAACCGGUAAACAGUGAGAAUUCUGGCACUUUGUACCCUCUAGGCCAUGGAUAUGCUUGGUCUACCCAAUCAGGAUAUGACUUUGUGUACGUCGGCCUAAUGACGGGACGCACCCCAAAAGCCAUCUGAUCCUGUACGAUUUUCAUAAUCUGAUUCCUCAAUAUGAUGUUGGGAUCAUACUAAAUUCCUACAGGCUGAUUAACCGGUUGAUUUGCAUGAGGCCUGAAGUUUGAUCCUUGAUUGGCAACAAAAUUACCAUAAUUAGGGCCAUUACCAUUAGCCUGAACAUCUAUUCCCUCAUUAACACGUGGGGUGUGCUGUCCAUUGUUUAGGACAUUAUCUCUUAUGUUUGGAUCACCUCCCAAGUUAGGCGUACCACUACCAUUGUUCUGAUUCGGCACUGCAGUACCCCCUUGGUUUGAAGUAGAGGGACCAGAAAGUGGUUCUAUCCCUUGAUUCGAAUUUAGGAUUGAGGGAUUAUGUCCCACAAUUGUCCUAGUUUGAAAGUGAUUUGUAAGAGGUAUAACCGGUUGACAUAUUUGGCCUACUAACAUAUUCAUUGUUUCGUUCAAAGUGUUUAGUUGUUUGGCCAUGUUGUCAUAGUGUGCAUUCCCAUUUUGGGUAAAUCUUUCCAUAUUAUGAAUAUUUCGAAGAUUUACCUAUUCAACGACAUCUUGUGUGAGUUCUCCAAGUAAUGCACGCAUGGUUCGAGGACUCAAUUCCGUCAUUGGUUCGUAACGACUGUUACUGCUCUGAUUCUUUCCAUUUGUUCGUGGAGAGGCAUGCUGCUCCUCAUAUCGCUCGAUCACAGACUGGAUUCCUCCCUGACUUGCUGCUUCCUUAUCGGAUCUCUGAGGCACAUCGUUUCACCUUUUGUACUUUCAACACCUAACACCACUGUCCCACCGGGCGUGACAAAUUGUUUCAUGCGGGUUAGUCGCUAACAAUUAAAAGGGAUCAGACGAUUGUGUAAGGGACAAACCUCUUGAGACAAAAUCCCAAAAAGGGGUCUUCUUUUAUUGGCGAUGACUUUACAAUUGGAAAUCGAAAACAAAGUGCCUCCAAGGGGCGUAAGCACACGAGUUACUGAAAAAAGUGUUUAAGUCUAAGCUAAGGAAAUUAAAAUUAUAUGUUCUUUGUUCGAGAGUUUUUGAUUCGGUCCUUUUCUUUAUGUCUUUUCUCCCUUUUAUAUUUCAUGGACGAUCUCUUUGUGAUCAACCGCCUAAAAACUACUUGAUCGUUCUGCAACUGCCCACUUUCCUCAUAAUGGCCAGCUUGUCAUGAAAACUGCCUUAUUUAACUGCUGCCAUUACUCUUCGUCGUUCAACCGUUUUCGAUUGAAUUCCUUGAAUCGUGGAACGUGAUGGGGCUGCUUUAAUAACUGCUUUGAUAACCGCACUUCUUGAUAACCACAACGCUUUAUGUUUGUUAAGACUUUGGGCGACUUGAAGGUUUUGGCGAGAAUAGAGUAAUAGCUCUGGGCGACUGCAUGGCACUCCAUUCGCUCAAAUUCUGGGCGACUUGCAAUCUUGGGCGAUGGCGUUACCACGUUCUUGGGCCUCCCUAUUUGGGCCUUCAUCUUGAAUUGUUUGAUUGGGCUUCGUUCUUUGGGCUAUCUGAUUUGGGGAUUCUCCAAUUGGGCUUCAUUUCUUGGGCCGUUCGAUUUGGGCUGAAUUUUUAUGUGUCAACAGGUGUUAUUUCUCAUUUAUAGCUUUUACAUUUGCGAAAGCAAUACAUUAUACAUAUUUGCAUCAAAUAGUUUCCUAAUUUUGUGUUUCUUCUUUUGUAGCAAGCUUGGAUGUGCUGUCCCCAGUAGUUUUGAAAAGUGCGGACGUGUAGCCUGAAGGAAAAGAUUGAAUAUACUUCCCUUUCCCUCGCAAGUGCCUCAUCUCACUACUUGUUGCCUUGUCGGCAAAAGACUGAAAUGGAAUAUUGUUGCGUUGUCUACAAAUUAGUUAAUUAUUGUUGUACUUUUUGAAUUGUUGCCUUGUCGGUUUAAUGAACUGCUGCUAUUGUUAUUGGCUUUGAAUUUUAGCCCAAGCGCCCAAAAUUCCUGGAUCCAUCCCUGCUUGUGCACUUAUUGAGAAGCCAUCUUUCUUGAGCGAAAACUGAGAUCCUAUCUCAAGAAAAUAUGUAUUUAUUUUUUUUUUGAGCCACAAAUUGCAACUACCCACCACCUUGCAUUCCCCCCUUCGUCUUGCAAUCUUGCAUAUGAAGACAUCUUUUGAAAGAUCAUCAAUUUUCGAGGUAAAGAAAUUUAUGCCCCGUUUGGUACCCAUUUUUUUUAAAAUUCAUUUUUAUCCCUCUUCUUUUCAAUCACACAUUCUUUAUUAAAAUAAUAUUAUACGUAAAUAAAAAACUUUAAGUUUAGUGUGUGGGAUUUUCGCAUCAAACGACUUGAUUUUUGCAGUUCAUUGCUUGUCAUUUAAUGAGCUGUUACUGAAAUUGUUGUAUAAAAUUUAUGCUCAUUAUUAAGCCCCCAUUUGUUUCCAAUAAGUGUAUUUUAUACACCUAUUCAAAGCGUUAAAACGAUGAUAUUUAGUUGCUUCUCGAAUGAAUUAUGAUCUAAAUUAUUACAUUUUGUAUUGAAUAGGUAAAAUUCAAUGACGGUACAAGAAAUUGAAGGACGAAGCAAAAGUGGACAAAAUUGGAGAAAAUGACUAAGUUAUAAGAUAUCCAAAGUUUGGGGACUAAAGUGAAAAUACUCCAAAGUUGUGUUGGACCUCAUGAUGAAGAUUUAAGAGUGCUCAGAGUCAAUUGGAUGAAGAAAGAUGUCAAAGGGAUCAAAUUUAGGCAAAAUAUGAUUAUAAAUCAAUUUCCAACCGAAAAGUUAUGCUCUGAAAUUUCAGUCUUACAUUGAGACCCAUUUUUGAUAUAGCAAACAAUCGAACUGGAGAAUGAUGUCAAAAGAAAAUUUGUAGUCCUUUAAGUUAUCUUUUCAACGCAUCCUGAAUUGCCUCAAUUGGACAUCGGGAGAGAAAGUUAUGCUAAAAAUACUAGAAAAAGUGCGUGAUGUUUGUUCGAAAAGUGGCGCCACUUCAGAGCGCAGCGAUGUCGAGAGAUUCAGAGAGGUGGCGCCGCAAUAUGUAACCUAAGCGAAAUUUUGGCCCAUUUUGGAGUUCAUAUGAAAAUCCUAUUCUUCAUACACGGUAGGGGACCUAUAAACACGAAAAUUCUCACACUUUAAGGGGUUCUAUAGAUUGUAGAGGAAAAACACUUCUUGAAGUAAGGAGGAGAGAUUCAAAGGGAGGAGAAAACGCCAAAUUCAUCGUGUGAAGCAUAAACUGGAAGAAGGAAUUCUUGGUGCAAGAUCCACUUUUUCUUCUACAUAUUCUUAUUAAAAAUUCCGGUGAUGGACUAUAAGACAAUUUGUUGUUGCUCUUCUUUUAUUAUGCGUAACUAAAUCCAUUGUUAGGGCGAAUAAUGUAACCCAUUUGAGAUCCUUUAUGUUUUCUUAUUAAGAUUCUUGGUUUUUAAUUUUUCCAUGUGUUGAUUCUUGCUAUGAAUUGAUUGCAUUAAAUUAUCUUAUCA